UACAAGCCACCUUCCCUGCAGGAGAUUUGAUGAGAGGUUCUGCGCAGAAUCACUCCCGUCAAAGUUCCCAGUGCGAUGAAGUUAGCGACUUCACUGAGUCUGUUUCUGGUUUUCCUAUCCCGGGUGCAGUCCGAUGUCGUGUUGACUCAACCAGAGGCGGAGACCGCCAGACCCGGAGGAUCCCUCAAACUGACUUGCCAGACCAGCGGGUUUGAUCUGAGCAGCUACUACAUGCACUUGGUCCGUCAGGUUCCUGACCAGGGGCUGGAGUGGCUGCUCGCUUACUAUUCUUCUUCGUACCAGUAUUACGGACAGGGGAUCCAAAGCAGAUUUACUCCGUCCAAAGACACCUCAAGCAGUGUUUUUUCUGUGGAAGUGACGAGACUGAAGAUGCAGGACACCGCCGUCUAUUACUGUGCGAAAUAUCACGGUGAGAGGGGCCUUGAAUACUGGGGACGAGGCACCAUGGUGACGGUGACUGACGCGGCAUCGUCCGCCCCCUCUCUCUACCCUCUUCUCUCCUGCGACCAACGCAGCCCCGCCGACUCGGUCACCUUCGGCUGUUUGGCGACGGACUACUCUCCGAAGGACAUCAGUGUUUCCUGGAGAAAAGAUAAAGUGCCGAUCACCACCGGACUGAAUAACUACCCAGCAGUGUUGAACAAAAAGGGAACUUACACCAGCAGCAGCCAGUUAACCAUCACAGAGUCAGAGGCCGGGAGCAGCGCAAUCUACUGCGUGGUUCGAUACCUUGAUACGGUCAAGGAAGUAAAAAUGCCCGAUCUGGAGGUGCAUCAUCCAAUCGUCGUUAUCGCCGUGAACUCCCUUGAUGAAAUCAAAAGGAGCAGAAAAGUGACGGCCGUGUGUUCGAUCACUGACUUCCGUCCGGCACAAGUGACCGUGAACUGGCUGAAGAAUGGACAGCCCCUAAAUUCCGUCAUCGCCACUUCUCCCGCCUUUCAGGUGAACGGGAACUUCUCGGCGACCAGCCAGGUGACAUUCUCAGCCGCAGAGUGGUUAACUGGUUCAGUCUAUACCUGCCAGGUCACCCAUAAAAAGGACACGCAAAGCCGCAACAUCAGCAUCUCUCAAGAUGCCAACUCCUGCGAAGAAGAGCAGAUUACAAUUCAGCCACCACCACUGGAGCAGGUCUUAAUGGAGGCAACCGUGACCUUGACCUGCGUCAUCUCUUAUGCACCUUAUGGCGUCCAAGUGACUUGGAAUGAAGGAGAGAAGCAAUUGAAAUCAGAGGUUACCUACCAGCCCGGAGAGUCCCUCGACAGCGUGAUCAGCACCCUGAACAUCUCGACUCAAGCUUGGCUGAGUGGGGCUGAGUUCGAAUGCGUCGUGAGCCACGAGGAAAUGCCAACUCCAAAAAGGGCUUCGAUCCACAAGGAAGAAGUUGCCCAUCCUCGGGAACCGUCCCUCUUUGUCCUCCUUCCGCCGGCAGAAGGUGUCUCCGCUCAGAAGUCCGUUGCCCUCACCUGCUUAGUGAGAGGUUUCUCCCCUCGCCGGAUCUUCGUCAAGUGGACGGUGGAUGACAAACCGGUGGAUACACGCAACUACAGGAACACAGAAGUGGUGGAGGAGAACGGCAACAGCUCUUACUUCAUGUACAGCCUACUAUCCGUCGGGGCAGAGCAUUGGGCCAGCGGCGCUUCUUUCUCCUGUGUGGUGGGACACGAAACCCUCCCCAUGAAGACGAUCGCCAGAACGGUCAACCGGUCCAGCGGUAAACCCAGUUUUGUCAACGUUUCCCUUGUACUGAUGGACACUGUCAAUUCUUGUCAAUAAGAGUACCUCAAUUGCAUUAAGUUCUUAAAUAAAUAAAAUAAAUAGCUUUCUUCCAAUUU